ACACCAUCCAGAGCGGCCGAGAGAUCUGGCUCGAUGACGCCGCAGCAACCAGUCAGCCGACCCUGGGACACAGGGACCGGCGGGCACGGUGCUACCGCCAGGACCGAUGGAGG
rfam:Kocuria polaris strain CMS 76or contig15, whole genome shotgun sequence.